GAUGUGACUAGUCCUACUUCAAUUCGACAUGCCAGAGGGGCUCCAUAUCCAAGGUAGACCUCCUCUUCAAGAAGUAAAAGAGAGAGAGGAUGGAGGAAAGGUAGGAGCUCCGCUGGGUAUUCCCCCCCACCAUGGUAAAUCAGGUCUCUGUGGAAGUGCAUCCUCUCCCACUGAGGCCAGACAAGGCAGCCAGCUAGAAGAACAUAUCUGAUGUGCAGGCAACAGCUUUUGGGAUAGCUCAGCUCCAAUUGUUAGGGACUCACAUGAAGAUCAAACUACAGAUCUGCUACAAAUGUGCAAGUGAGGCCUAGAAUUCAGCCUUUGUAUGGUCUUUGGUUGAUGGUUCAGCCUCUGAAGAUCCCCAAGCUGCAUCUACUGUUUAAAUAUGACAUCUCCUUCCCACAGUUUUUCAACCCAUUCCACCUCCCACUUGUCUCCAAAGGUGUGUUCUGCCUGUCCCACUAUACCAGCCAUCUCCCUUCACUGAGUACUCAAGUCUCUACAGGAUUAGGCACAUCCUAUCCUGCUUGGGCCAGCCCAGGGAGUCUUCUGCUAUCAGAAGCCUUAGGCCAGUCCUUAUAUACUCCCUGGUUACUGGCCAUGUCUCUAGGAGCUCCUAAAGAUCCAGAUUAAAUGCAAACUUCAUCAAUAUUCCAACUCAAUUCUUAACAGAAAUAGAAAGAACAAUUCUCAAAUUCUUCUGGAAUAAUAAACAAAAAACCCAGGACAUUGUGAAGUAUUCUCAAAAAUAAGAGAAUUUAAGGGAGAAUCACCAUCUCUGACCUCAAGCUGUAGUAUGGAGAAAUCUUAAUAAAAGCCACAUGGUAUUGGUACAGAGAUAAACAGGUAGAUCAAUGGAAUAGAAUUGAAGACCCAGAAUUAAAUCCACACAUCUAUGAUCAUCUGAUCUUUGACAAAGUAUCCAAAACCAUCCAGUGGAAAAAAGACAUCAUAUUCAACAAAUGGUACUGGCCUAAAUCAUGGUCUCAGCAUGUUGAAGAAUGCAAACUGAUCCAUUUUUAUUUCUUGUACAAAGCUCAAGUCCAAGUAGAUCUAGGAUCUCUACAUAAAACAAGAUACACUGAAUCUAAU